rnacentral:rRNA from 1 species
GUCCUUGUGGGCUUUAUACAAGGUCUAGCCUGCCCACUGAUUAUUUAAAGGGCUGCGGUAAUCUAACCGUGCGAAGGUAGCAUAGUAAUUAGUCUUUUAAUUGGAGGCUUGUAUGAACGGUUGGACGAUGGAGAGCUUUCUUAUUGAAUCAUAUUGAAUUUAACUUUUGUGUGAAAAGGCAUAGAUGAGAUGGUGGGACGAUAAGACCCUAUAAAAUUUUAUAAUUAAAAUUUUAUUUUGGAGAAUUUAAACGAAGUGGAAUAGAAAUUAUUAUGUUGGGGUGACAGAAUUAAAUUUUUAUAAAACUGAUUUUUAAAUUUUAAUAAUUAUGGUUAGAGUCUGAUCCUGUAUUAUGGGUUAUAAGUUAAAGUUACUUUAGGGAUAACAGCGUAAUUUCUUUUGAGAGUUCUUAUCGACAGAGUAAGUUGCGACCUCGAUGUUGAAUUAAAAUUUUCCCCGGGGGUAGGAUUUCGGGUGGUAGGUCUGUUCGACCUGUAGUAUUUUACAUGAUUUGAGUUCAAACCGGUGUGAG